GAUGAACGCUGGCGGCGUGCCUAAUACAUGCAAGUCGAGCGAAGCGGGGACGGGGGAGUAACACGUGGAUCACCUCAUCUCAGAAUGGGGUACCUUCGUGAAACCCGAGUUAAACAGGAUACUUCUAGAUAGAUCCGCGCUGCAUUAUCUAUUUGGUAAGGUAACGGCUUACAAAGGCAACGCUGCAUAGCCGACCUGCGAGGGUAAUCGGCCAAAUGGGAACUGAGACACGGUCCAGACUCCUACGGGGGGCAGCAGUAGGGAAUCUCCCGCAAUGGACGAAAGCCUGACGAGGAAACGCCGCGUGAGUAAUGAAGGUCUUCGGAUCGGAAAACUCUGUUAUCAGGAAAGCGGUACCUAAUCAGAAAGCCACGGCUAACUACGUGCCAGCAGCCGCGGUAAUUC
rnacentral:rRNA from 1 species